UACGUAGGGGGCAAGCGUUGUCCGGAUUUAUUGGGCGUAAAGAGCGUGUAGGCGGCCAGGUAGGUCCGUUGUGAAAACUCGAGGCUUAACCUCGAGACGUCGAUGGAAACCAUCUGGCUAGAGUCCGGAAGAGGAGAGUGGAAAUUCCCGGUGUAGCGGUGAAAUGCGCAGAUAUCGGGAGGAACACCAAUUGCGAAGGCAGCUCGCUGGGACGU
rnacentral:rRNA from 1 species